rnacentral:rRNA from 1 species
AGACCCGAAACCCGGUGAUCUAGCCAUGGGCAGGUUGAAGGUUGGGUAACACUAACUGGAGGACCGAACCGACUAAUGUUGAAAAAUUAGCGGAUGACCUGUGGCUGGGGGUGAAAGGCCAAUCAAACCGGGAGAUAGCUGGUUCUCCCCGAAAGCUAUUUAGGUAGCGCCUCGUGAAUUCAUCUCCGGGGGUAGAGCACUGUUUCGGCUAGGGGGCCAUCCCGGCUUACCAACCCGAUGCAAACUGCGAAUACCGGAGAAUGUUAUCACGGGAGACACACGGCGGGUGCUAACGUCCGUCGUGAAGAGGGAAACAACCCAGACCGCCAGCUAAGGUCCCAAAGUCAUGGUUAAGUGGGAAACGAUGUGGGAAGGCCCAGACAGCCAGGAUGUUGGCUUAGAAGCAGCCAUCAUUUAAAGAAAGCGUAAUAGCUCACUGGUCGAGUCGGCCUGCGCGGAAGAUGUAACGGGGCUAAACCAUGCACCGAAGCUGCGGCAGCGAACGUAUCACCCAAGACAACUUUACGGAGUUGACGAUUGACGGAGCGAAGCGACGUCAAAGCGUUCAUUAAAGUCGAGUUGGCUUAGGGAUACGUUCGUUGGGUAGGGGAGCGUUCUGUAAGCCUGUGAAGGUGUGUCGUGAGGCAUGCUGGAGGUAUCAGAAGUGCGAAUGCUGACAUAAGUAACGAUAAAGCGGGUGAAAAGCCCGCUCGCCGGAAGACCAAGGGUUCCUGUCCAACGUUAAUCGGGGCAGGGUGAGUCGACCCCUAAGGCGAGGCCGAAAGGCGUAGUCGAUGGGAAACGGGUUAAUAUUCCCGUACUUGGUGUUACUGCGAAGGGGGGACGGAGAAGGCUAUGUUGGCCGGGCGACGGUUGUCCCGGUUUAAGGGUGUAGGUGUGUGUUCCAGGUAAAUCCGGUUCACUUUAACACUGAGGCGUGACGACGAGGCACUACGGUGC